CUAGGAGGCAGUGUUACAGUUACGAUGGUGUUCAUUGGGUUGAAACAAACCUUUUUGACAGAAUGUUUGAUGCUGAAAUCCGAUGGAUUCCUUUUUUCAGGUCGCACAGAUGGACUCCCCUCCUUCCUAGUGCACAUAGAGCUCCCAAGUAUCAGGAAUUGCACCACCAGCCCGCGGGAGACCAAAGUGACCAGCCUGUCAGACGUGUCUGUGAAGAACCAAACAGCAACACAUCUAAAGAGGAAACCAGGUGUUGCUUUGCCAUCAAAGACGAUGACAUGUCUAGCUGCCACUUCCUGUCAAGACCCUAAGGUUCCUCUCCUCUCCUAG
rnacentral:lncRNA from 1 species